GCGGCCUAUCAGCUUGUUGGUGGGGUGAUGGCCUACCAAGGCGACGACGGGUAGCCGGCCUGAGAGGGCGACCGGCCACACUGGGACUGAGACACGGCCCAGACUCCUACGGGAGGCAGCAGUGGGGAAUAUUGCACAAUGGGCGGAAGCCUGAUGCAGCGACGCCGCGUGAGGGAUGACGGCCUUCGGGUUGUAAACCUCUUUCAGCAGGGACGAAGCGUGAGUGACGGUACCUGCAGAAGAAGCGCCGGCCAACUACGUGCCAGCAGCCGCGGUAAGACGUAGGGCGCGAGCGUUGUCCGGAUUUAUUGGGCGUAAAGAGCUCGUAGGCGGCUUGUCGCGUCGUUCGUGAAAUCCCGGGGCUCAACUCCGGGCUUGCGGUCGAUACGGGCAGGCUUGAGUUCGGUAGGGGAGACUGGAAUUCCUGGUGUAGCGGUGAAAUGCGCAGAUAUCAGGAGGAACACCGGUGGCGAAGGCGGGUCUCUGGGCCGAUACUGACGCUGAGGAGCGAAAGCGUGGGGAGCGAACAGGAUUAGAUACCCUGGUAGUCCACGCUGUAAACGUUGGGCGCUAGGUGUGGGGGGCCUCUCCGGUUCUCUGUGCCGCAGCUAACGCAUUAAGCGCCCCG
rnacentral:rRNA from 1 species